rnacentral:rRNA from 1 species
CACUCCUGCGGGAGGCAGCAGUGGGGAAUAUUGCACAAUGGGCGCAAGCCUGAUGCAGCCAUGCCGCGUGUAUGAAGAAGGCCUUCGGGUUGUAAAGUACUUUCAGCGGGGAGGAAGGCGAUAAGGUUAAUAACCUUGUCGAUUGACGUUACCCGCAGAAGAAGCACCGGCUAACUCCGUGCCAGCAGCCGCGGUAAUACGGAGGGUGCAAGCGUUAAUCGGAAUUACUGGGCGUAAAGCGCACGCAGGCGGUCUGUCAAGUCGGAUGUGAAAUCCCCGGGCUCAACCUGGGAACUGCAUUCGAAACUGGCAGGCUAGAGUCUUGUAGAGGGGGGUAGAAUUCCAGGUGUAGCGGUGAAAUGCGUAGAGAUCUGGAGGAAUACCGGUGGCGAAGGCGGCCCCCUGGACAAAGACUGACGCUCAGGUGCGAAAACGUGGGGAGCAAACAGGAUUAGAAACCCGAGUAGUCCCAUGA